GAUGAACGCUGGCGGCGUGCCUAAUACAUGCAAGUCGAGCGAACAGACGAGGAGCUUGCUCCUCUGACGUUAGCGGCGGACGGGUGAGUAACACGUGGAUACCCUACCUAUAAGACUGCGAUAACUUCGGGAAACCGGAGCUAAUACCGGAUAAUAUAUUGAACCGCAUGGUUCAAUAGUGAAAGACGGUUUUGCUGUCACUUUUAGAUGGAUCCGCGCCUCAUUUGCUAGUUGGUAAGGUAACGGCUUACCAAGGCAACGAUUCGUAGCCGACCUGAGAGGGGGAUCGGGCAGACUGGAACUGAGACACGGACCAGAAUACUACGGGAGGCAGCAGUAGGGAAUCGUGCGCAAUGGGCGAAAGAAUGACGGAGCAACGCCGCGUGAGUGAUGAAGGUCUUCGGAUCGUAAAACUCUGUUAUUAGGGAAGAACAAAUGUGUAAGUAACUAUGCACGUCUUGACGGUACCUAAUCAGAAAGCCACGGCUAACUACGUG
rnacentral:rRNA from 1 species